rnacentral:lncRNA from 1 species
GUGUACUUUUUUGAAUGUGAUUUAAGGAAAGGUGCACUUGAAAGGUUUGAGUUUGUGCUUCUAUGAUUUACAACGAUGCACACAUAGGAAACGGAGUAAUGCGACCUGACAUUUUGCGAUAUGCCCUCGUGCUUUUGGUUCUAUUGGAGAUGAUUCUGCCAUCCACAAUGGGCGCUCUUGAAAGAUACCAAAGAGCUCGUCGCCGAGGAAAGCGCAAGCGUUCAUAAAACAAUUGAGGAUGCCCUUUUCUUUCGCAUGGAAUUUUCGGAGAAUACUUCCGUGCCUGUUGUUGAAAAUUAGGCUGUGGUCCUGUUCUCUACAAUCGAAUCGUAACGAAUACCUUUCGAACAAAAUUAGCCCUAAAAUGAUUGGUAAUGCAUUAGCAGUGGGGCUGAGCGCAGGGACAGAUCUCUUCGUCAUUUACAUUAUAUUUAGUGUUAGCGUUCGUUAUUGACUCGCGCCGGAUUCAAAUGAAUUUGUCGUCUGUGACCGGCCUCUUAAUAAAAGACCAUUCUCGGCUUAAUUUCUUUAGUGAACUGCAACGCCAAAACCGGUCGAUGGGUCUGAGUUUCUCUAUGAGGGACGUGGAGGUUUCACUCACUUUGGGAACGGCGGGAGGAUAUGUUUACCUCACCGUUAAUGAUACGAUACUACAAAUCGUUUUGGAAAUCUAU